GAUGAACGCUGACAGAAUGCUUAACACAUGCAAGUCUUUGGCGAAGCUGUGCUUGCACAGCCUAGCCAAGGCGGACGGGUGAGUAACGCGUAAGGGACUUGCCCUGCAGUCAGGGAUAACAGACGGAGACGACUGAUAAAACCUGGUAAAGUCAGGCGGACUCAUGUCCAGCCUGAUGAAAAGGAAUGCUGCAGGAGAGCCUUGCGUCCUAUUAGCUCGUUGGUGGGGUAACGGCCCACCAAGGCGAUGAUAGGUAGCCGGCCUGAGAGGGUGGACGGCCACAAGGGGACUGAGAUACGGCCCUUACUCCUACGGGAGGCAGCAGUGGGGAAUAUUGGACAAUGGGGGCAACCCUGAUCCAGCAAUUCUGUGUGCACGAUGAAGGUCUUCGGAUUGUAAAGUGCUUUCAGCAGGGAAGAAAAAAAUGACGGUACCUGCAGAAGAAGCGACGGCUAAAUACGUGCCAGCAGCCGCGGUAAUACGUAUGUCGCGAGCGUUAUCCGGAAUUAUUGGGCAUAAAGGGCAUCUAGGCGGCCCUGUAAGUCUAGGGUGAAAACCUGCGGCUCAACCGCAGGCCUGCCCCGGAAACUACAGGGCUAGAGUGCUGGAGAGGUGGACGGAACUGCACGAGUAGAGGUGAAAUUCGUAGAUAUGUGCAGGAAUGCCGAUGAUGAAGAUAGUUCACUGGACGGUAACUGACGCUGAAGUGCGAAAGCUAGGGGAGCAAACAGG
rnacentral:rRNA from 1 species